GAUUAAGGUACUAAGGGUGUAUGGUGGAUGCCUUGGUACAGAGAGGCGAUGAAGGGCGUGGCGAACUGCGAUAAGCCUCGGGGAGCCGUAAGCAGGCUUUGAUCCGGGGAUACCCGAAUGGGGCAACCCGUGCCGAUUCAUAUUGGCACAUCCCGAAAGGGAGGCGAACCUGGGGAAGUGAACCAUCUCAGUACCCAGAGGAAUAGAAAUCAACCGAGAUUUCCCUAGUAGCGGCGAGCGAACGGGAAACAGCCUAAACCAUAAAGAUGCCAAGGGCAGGCCCGUUGUCUUUGUGGUGUUGUGGGAGCCGAUUGGAGGUAGCCUGAUGCCUCCGAAGAGUUACAAAAAGUCUUUUUAGCCAAACAGCCUUGAAUGGCUGACCAUAGAAGGUGGAAGUCCUGUAGGUGAAAAGAUGACUUCUCUUUUCGGAAUUCCCAAGUAGCGCGGGGCACGAGAAACCCUGUGUGAAUCCGGGUGGACCAUCAUCCAAGGCUAAAUACUAUUCUGUAACCGAUAGUGAACCAGUACCGCGAGGGAAAGGUGAAAAGUACCCCUGUCAGGGGCGUGAAAUAGAACCUGAAACCAUAUACCUACAAGCAGUCGAAGUCCCCGCAAGGGGAUGACGGCGUGCCUUUUGUAAAAUGAGCCGGCUAGUUAUUUUCAGUGGCAAGGUUAAGUCGUAGAGACGGAGCCGAAGCGAAAGCGAGUCUGAAUAGGGCGAUUGAGUCACUGGGAAUAGACGCGAAGCGGAAGUGAGCUAUCCUUGGCCAGGGUGAAGUAUGGGUAACACCAUACGGAGGCCCGCACCAAUAUGGGUUGAAAACCGUUUGGAUGAGCUGAGGAUAGGGGUGAAAGGCCAACCAAACGCCGUGAUAGCU
rnacentral:rRNA from 1 species